rnacentral:rRNA from 1 species
AUUGAACGCUGGCGGCAGGCUUAACACAUGCAAGUCGAGCGAGCGGCGGACGGGUGAGUAAUGUCUGGGAAACUGCCUGAUGGAGGGGGAUAACUACUGGAAACGGUAGCUAAUACCGCAUACCAUCAGAUGUGCCCAGAUGGGAUUAGCUAGUAGGUGGGGUAAUGGCUCACCUAGGCGACGAUCCCUAGCUGGUCUGAGAGGAUGACAACGCACCCGUGACCGGAGACACGGCCCAGGCUCCUACGAGAGGAAGCAGUGGGUAAUAUUGCACAAUGGGCGCAAGUCUGAGACAGCCAUGCCGCGUGUGUGAAGAAGGCGUUCGGGUUGUAAAGCACUUUCAGCGAGGAGGCGUUACUCGCAGAAGAAGCACCGGCUAACUCCGUGCCAGCCGCCGCGGUAAUAC